rnacentral:pre_miRNA from 13 species
ACUCGCUCCUGUGCUUUAUGGCUUUUUAUUCCUAUGUGAUUGUGACAUGAUCUCAUGUAGGGAGAGAAGCCAUGAAAUACACAGUGAGAA